GCCUGGGUGGCUCAGUCGGUUAAGCGUCCGACUUCGGCUCAGGUCAUGAUCUGGAAGUCUGCAAGUUCGAGCCCUGCACCGGGCU
rnacentral:tRNA from 1 species